GCCAUUUAAGUCACCGCGGAGGAAGAGUAAAAAAAAAGCGUUUGUUUUAUGAUACAGCUGGUACCGGAUGCGCCUCAGAGGUAUCUUUUAACCUUAAAAGACGGGCUGUUUUGCUGCAUAGCUGGAGCCCCAUAGAGGCUAUUACAAACGGGGCCACUCUCUAUUCACCGAGAGAGGGGAGAGCAGCGCUGGUGGAAGAGGCGGGAGGGGGGGAGGGGGGGGGGGGGGGGGUGCUGAGGAGGAGGGCGAGGGAUGAAGGGAGGAAGGAGGGAGUGUGGGAGAGGAGAAACGUGUAAUCACCCAAACAACCAUUUUUACCCAUUUCACCCCCUCUGGAUCUGUGGCGCAAGUGCGCCGCCGGCUUAUGCGCGCCUCCGCUGCGGAUACGCCGACGUGAGGCCGGACCCCGCGGAAGACGCCGAGAGGGAGAAGAGACGGAGGCCGGAGCGGGACUCAACACACAACAUGUUUGUUACAUAUGUCGGCGGCGCUGCUUUAUUUGAAGAUGAAGACGGAAGUGAGGUUCGGCUCGAGACGAGCGCUCCCGCUCGCAACCGCCGGGACCUCGCUCCGUCAAAGCAAGAUCACAUCUCUUGCACAGGCUCACAUGCCGAGCACCUCUGA
rnacentral:lncRNA from 1 species